AGUGAACGCUGGCGGUAGGCCUAACACAUGCAAGUCGAACGGCAGCACAGGAGAGCUUGCUCUCUGGGUGGCGAGUGGCGGACGGGUGAGGAAUACAUCGGAAUCUACUCUGUCGUGGGGGAUAACGUAGGGAAACUUACGCUAAUACCGCAUACGACCUACGGGUGAAAGCAGGGGACCUUCGGGCCUUGCGCGAUUGAAUGAGCCGAUGUCGGAUUAGCUAGUUGGCGGGGUAAAGGCCCACCAAGGCGACGAUCCGUAGCUGGUCUGAGAGGAUGAUCAGCCACACUGGAACUGAGACACGGUCCAGACCCCUACGGGAGGCAGCGGUGGGGAAUAUUGGACAAUGGGCGCAAGCCUGAUCCAGCCAUACCGCGUGGGUGAAGAAGGCCUUCGGGUUGUAAAGCCCUUUUGUUGGGAAAGAAAUCCAGCUGGCUAAUACCCGGUUGGGAUGACGGUACCCAAAGAAUAAGCACCGGCUAACUUCGUGCCAGCCGCCGCUGUAA
rnacentral:rRNA from 1 species